rnacentral:rRNA from 1 species
UACGAGGGGGGCAAGCGUUGUUCGGAAUUACUGGGCGUAAAGGGCGCGUAGGCGGCCUUCUAAGUCAGACGUGAAAUCCCCCGGCUUAACCUGGGAACUGCGUCUGAUACUGGGAGGCUUGAGUAUGGGAGAGGGAUGUAGAAUUCCAGGUGUAGCGGUGAAAUGCGUAGAUAUCUGGAGGAAUACCGGUGGCGAAGGCGGCAUCCUGGACCAUAACUGACGCUGAGGCGCGAAAGCUAGGGGAGCAAACGGG